CGCCACCUCUCUUUCACUCUUCCUUCUCUUUUAUAUAUAUAUAAAAACUGAAUUCUCUCUUUGGUUCUGUUCAACAUCUAAAUCUCCUCCUUUGGAGUUUCUUCUUGUUGCUAAUUAAGAGCCCAUUCUUUUUUUGUUAUUAUUUGUUUUUUCUUUCCAUAUCUUAGCAUAAGAACCAAUCUCUACAUUUCUUCUGCUUCCGUUUCUUUGCUUCGUGGCUUUGUUAAUUCGAAUUCUUGGUGUUUCUUGAUCCCUCUUUUCAGUUUUCUUGUUAUUCUUUGCCAUAUCGUGCAUUAAAAAGAAACCCAAGAAACAAAGGCCAAUAAAAAUCGUGCAUUAAAAAGAAACCCAAGAAACAAAGGCCAAUAAAAAUCUCUUUCUCUGUCUCUCUUCAGAGUUUUGUGAUUCAUUUGAUAUAUUGAAGAGAUCAAAAUGUUGGACGGAUUAUUAAAGUCAAAAUUCUAUGCAAAAUGCAAGUCGCUGUUGAAGAUGUCAAAAGCUCGACUCGAGGUGCUAAAGAAGAAGAAGAGCUCAGUGGCAAGGUUCUUAAAGAAUGAUAUGGCUGAGCUUCUCAGGAGUGGCUUUGAUUAUAAUGCUUAUUGCAGGGCUGAUGGGCUUCUGGUUGAGCAAAAGAUGAUAGCUUGCUACAAUUUCAUUGAGCAGUUCUGUGGAUGUAUAUCCAGCAAUCUUUCUGCCAUGAAUAAACAGAGGGAAUGCCCUGAGGAAUGUAAAGAAGCUGUACAAUCUCUAAUAUAUGCUGCAGCAAGAGUUUCUGAAUUCCCAGAAUUGCGAGAUUUUCGCACUCUAUUCACUGAAAGAUAUGGGACUCCCAAUGAAUCUUUUGUUAAUGAAGAGUUUAUUGAGACAUUGAGGCCUAAAUCUACCACAAAGGAGUUGAAGCUUCAGUUAUUGCAUGAUAUAGCAGAAGAAUUCAAUAUAGAAUGGAAUUCAAAGUCUUUGGAACAGAAACUCUUCAAGCCUCCUCGAGAGGACCAGAAUAGGCAUUGUCGUCGCAAAAGCAAGGAUGAUAUUGUCCCGAAAGGAGAAUUCCAGGGCGAUGAUGAAGAUGGAAACAAAUGGAAGAAAAACAAGGAUGAUGAUAUCACAAAGAGAACAAGCCCUGAAGCUGGGAACAAAGUGAAUGACAUGGGGGAGGAUAAGUUGCUGAAAAAAGACAAAACCGAACUUGCAUCUAGUGGAAGGAAGAAUGCCAUUUAUGAGGGAUAUAAUCUGCCUUGCAGCAGUGAAGAUGAAGUGACUUCUCCUCGCAGGAGAAAUAGUAGUGACCUUGAUAGCCUACAAGCUACUUCAAGUUCUGUUGGAAGUGUUUCGGAGGAUGAAGUAGAUAGCAAGAAGCCCUUUUACUACAGAUUCAUUCCUCCCUUUUAUGUCAAACCAGAAGUUGAGAAAGAAGAAAGCAAGAUUGAAGAACCCCGAAAAACAACUGGCAAUGUUCUUGAUGAAGACGAUUUGAUUAGUGAGGCUAAGCCAAAACCAAGAUCGGUUCGAAGGAGACCAUUGAAGCCACUUCCUGGUCAUGAAAAUUUUGGCAGUGAUGCAAUGCCAUUGAACUCACCUAAAGGUCAUGAAAAUGUUGGCAGUAUUGAACGACCAUUGAAGCCACCGCCAGGCCGUGAAAAAUUUGUCAGUCCUGAAAAUGGUGGGUUUGCAAAGGCUAAUUCAAUUGCAGCGAAAGAAGCUGAGGCCGAAAGGGUUUUGAGAAUCUCGAAAGCUGAUGAUGUGGAUGAAAGGGAAGAAGAGGACAAGAUGAUUGAUGAGCUUCUGAUGCAUUACAGCAAGGACACAAAAUCUAAUGAGUUGCCUCUUCCAACUGGUAGAGAAGCAUACCAAGCAGAAGAAGCAAGUACAACGAAGGCAGCAAAAAGGCAAAAUCAAGUAGUUUCGUUACAGUCAGAGACCGGACAUGUGCACCCUAACCUGCCUGAUUACGAAGAUUUGGCAGCUCGGUUUGCAGCUCUUAAGGGGAAAUAGAUGAAACGAAAAUGACAUUAGGUUCUUAGAGCUUGCAUGCUUAGUAUUCUUUCUAAGAAAACAGAUAAAAAAAAAAAAAAG
rnacentral:misc_RNA from 1 species